UUCACAGGACAGUGGUGACGAUACUGAGUAGAAGACAAAGUCAUAACAUCACUGUACAUUUGAAUGGAGGGGAUUUAGAAACCAUCCACCCAGUGCAUGAAUUCCUCUCUACAACAUCAGAGGUAAUGACCAUCUGUGUUUACGCCUGUUCUCUAGUGAUGUGAAAUUUACCUUGAGUGAGACUGCCUUCCCAUAAGAAUAUAAAAAGUUUAAAAAUAAUAGUUACCAUUUAUUUCACAUUUACCGUAUACCAGAUGUUGGAGAACGACCUUUACAUACGUACCCUCAUCUAAAUCCAUUUGAAGGAUCGUAAACCAUUUUAAGGAUAAAGUAAUGAAGAAACUUCCAUGGGGACCGAGAGUUACUUAGUUCUAUCUGAAACUAAAUACACUUCUCGUGGUGUCACCAGAAUCGGAUGUGUUUUCAGAUCUCCGGAUGAAGCUGCAUUUUUGACAAAGAAAAUGUUCUUAAUGGACACUAACAGGAGCAAAAUGACAGGCAUAGAAAUGACAACAUGGAAUCCCAAAAUUCUGAAGGUGAGUGGUCCUUUCUUCUGGAGGUGGAUUAAUGCAAAGGUUAGAAAUUAUUUAAAUUUAUCAUUAAAUUUAGUAAAUGUCUGUUAA
rnacentral:lncRNA from 1 species